rnacentral:lncRNA from 1 species
CCCCCAAACAAAAAGCCCCACAAAACAGGAUUCAUAUUGUAUUUCCAAAUGUGUCUUUUAUGUCUUUGACUGUUUUGGGGGAGGUGGGGAGGAGCAGUCUCUGUCUAUCUAAAAAGAGAAAUCCAGUGUUGCCUUCCUGAGGGGUCUGUUUAAUGCAGUACACUGUUCGGUGUUCUCCAGCUAGGUUUAUCCAUGAAGGACUGAGUAACCUUUGUUAUAUUUAACAAAACCCAGGUGCAUCAAUUUUUGAUGCUUUUUACUGUUUUGUUUUUAAAUCUACUACUACGUGUAUGUUCUUUCUCAGAGUAUUCAGGUUUGCCGUGGACAUCUGAAGUCUGAAUUCCAGUCUUAUCAAUUUUAUAUUCCAUGGUUGAAUUUUAAAGCUGUUUAGGUUUAACAAUGAAGGAAUUUUAUUCUUUAGUCAAAACUGUUCUUAUUUUUACUCUUGCUCAGGAUUAGUAUUUGUAAACACUGAGUUUAAUAUAAACACAAAUUUGUCAGAAGAAAAACAAAAACCUGUCCUAAUAUUGACAUUAACCUUUUAUGAAACAAGCAUUAUUCUCUCUUCUUGAAUUUGAGACUAAUUAAAGCCAAGGAAAAGGA